GCCGCCGCCCCCAUCUUGGCCCUCUCUAGUUAGCGACUUCCUGCCCGCGCCGCGUCACUGUAUCCUCCUCCUUUGCACCGCCGCCGUCCUACUCCUGCCCGUCGUCCAGCUCCUGCUCCUCCAUCGGAACCAACCGGAGCACGCCUGGAAGUGGAGGAAAUUCCCGUCCCUCUCUGUACUGGAUCUGGAUGGGCUCCCAUGAUUCUUUCUCCCUCUGUUGGUCAAACCCGACGCGGGCUUGUCGGAGCGGAGUGGCCAUGCGGUGGCCUACGGCACGGCUCACUGGAGGCAGCAGCGCAGCGGCAUCACCGUUUCCUUCCCCGUCCAUGAGCGGUGCGGCCAACCUCUGGCCUCUGCUUCUUCCUCCCUGACGGCGGCGUGGAAUCAACAGUGGGUUCCGCUAACCCCGACCGCGGCCUAACAUGCAUGGACUGAAGCGUUGGACAGGCGCCCACUACUCGCCUCUGCAUGCCUGGGUCAUCUGAGAUAAGUUAUUAUGUCUCUUCCUUAAAGUGAGAUCGUGUGCUUCUCUGAUCCAGUUGUAGUAAGUUCUACAAGGCCUUAGCUGGUUUUCAGGGAGGAACUUCAUCUCAUGGCUGAAACUUGGGUAAAACUAUGGGCAUACAAAAUACAUCUUUGUUUUGUUGCCUUACAAACAUGGCUGUGAACGAACUGAAUGUUGGCAAACAACUCUAUAUCCAUGCUCACUUAUUCUGAUAUUUUUGGAAGUGAAAGGGAGUAAGGAUAGCGCAAAGAGCAGAGAGCACACCGGUUAUGUUGGAAAAAUUGGUCGAAGUUACAGUCCAGUAGUUGGCAUAAAUAUAGGAACUCUAGAAUGCCUGAAUGCACACAACAUUGAUGGUAAGACAUGCUUGACAACUACCUAACACAAUCAUAUUGUUCAUUUCGUAAAUUUAGACAUAAAAUAGUAUUGUCUUCACAAUGUCCACCACUGAAUAUCUUUGUGCAUUUCUAGACCUUGAAGUUAUAUAAGAAAAUCCAAUUUAUCUUCUCACUUGUGUCCUGGAAGGUUUUAGCAUCUGUACCUAUAUCCGUGAUUGCUUUUACAUGUGUUCUGAUUCAGCUUGUACCUUCAUUAACGUGAAGUAAUGUUUAAGAUAUAUAUAGACUAAAUUUGUAGUCUGAUUCGUGCAAGCCUUCUUCCUACUGCUGCCACUUUGUAUAAAUAUAUAUACUGGUUCGUGCAAGCCUUGCUCCUACUUCAAAUUUGUAUUCUGAAAGUACCUAUAUAUCCGUGCAUCAGACUAAAUUUGUAGUCCGAUUCGCGAAGUAGGAGCAAGGCUUGUUUCUACUGCUGCCACCUUGUAUAAAUAUAUAUACUGGUUCAUUUCGUUUCAUUAUUGUUUUUUGUUAUAAAUAAUAGUACUAUGUUGGUCACGUGGGUAGCAUAUAAAAUUGUUAUGCACAGAAGUAACACGGAUAAUAAAAUCAAUGGGUUUAUGAUAGAAAAGCUUUUCUGUAUAUCAUGAAUGAAUAUAAACGAUGCAUGAUCAUUUCAAGCUGCACUUCCCUAUCUAUUAUUUCAUUGUUUAUCAAGUAUUUUCAAGUUUCAUAGUCCAUUACCUUACAAAUUUUGAUUUUUCAUCUAAUAACAAAUACAUAGCUUAAUGUUCCAUGAAUAAAACUAAGUGCGGGAGAUCUCUCAAGGAAACUGUAUCAUAUUCUUUGGUGAAAUUUUCCAUGCCAUUUGAAGUUCACUUGGCAGGCAAGUAUUGUUUACUAUUUGUUAGCCCUUUGAGAUGUAGUUGCAAGAUAAACAUUGCCGCUGCUCGUCGACCCGGAUGACAUAAACUUCAAAUGUUCACGUGUCAACAAGUUUACACAUCAUGGGGGGAUAUUGUUUGUUAGUGAUAUGCCAUUUCGUUGGCGGGUUUAUAUGGCCUCAACUACUGCUGCUAUAGUACUUGGAGCUCUGUGAUGUGUAUUUUUUCACUUUGUCAUUUGAAUUUCAUUUGACACACUUUUCUUUGUAUUAAUUUUAAGAAACCACAUGUUUACUCUUGUUUUAUACUCCAUUUGUAGGCACUAUAAGAUUUAGGAAUUCUGGACAUCAUGUAAUUCAUUUUUUUAUUUUUGUUGCAAUUCUCUUAUUUCUACUAUCCAUUCAU